rnacentral:rRNA from 1 species
UACGAAGGGUGCUAGCGUUGUUCGGAAUCACUGGGCGUAAAGCGCGCGUAGGCGGCUUUUCAAGUCAGGGGUGAAAUCCCACAGCUUAACUGUGGAACUGCCUUUGAAACUGUAAAGCUGGAAUGCAAGAGGGGAGUAGCGGAAUUGGCUUAAUGUAGAGGUGAAAUUCGUAGAAUAUUAGCAGGAACACCGGUGGACGAAGGCGGCUAUCUGGAUUGCAAUUGACGGCUGAGGCGCGAAAGCAUGGGGAUCAAACAGG